rnacentral:rRNA from 1 species
AUUAUGGACCCACCUGAUCCCAUGCCGAACUCAGCAGUGAAACGUAAUAGCGCCGAUGGUAGUGUGGGGCUUCCCCAUGUGAGAGUAGGACAUCGCCAGGC